AUACGUAGGGGGCGAGCGUUGUCCGGAAUCAUUGGGCGUAAAGCGCGCGCAGGCGGUCCCUUAAGUCUGAUGUGAAAUCUUGCGGCUCAACCGCAAGAGGUCAUUGGAAACUGGGGGACUUGAGUGCAGGAGAGGGAAGCGGAAUUCCAUGUGUAGCGGUGAAAUGCGUAGAGAUAUGGAGGAACACCAGUGGCGAAGGCGGCUUCCUGGCCUGUAACUGACGCUCAGGCGCGAAAGCGUGGGGAGCAAACAGGAUUAGAUACCCUGGUAGUCCACGCCGUAAACGAUGAGUGCUAGGUGUUGGAGGGGUUUCCCCUUCAGUGCUGGAGCUAACGCAUUAAGCACUCCGCCUGGGGAGUACGGCCGCAAGGCUGAA
rnacentral:rRNA from 1 species